rnacentral:rRNA from 1 species
UACAGAGGUCUCAAGCGUUGUUCGGAUUCAUUGGGCGUAAAGGGUGUGUAGGUGGCGCGCUAAGUCGGGUGUGAAAUUUCGGAGCUUAACUCCGAAACUGCAUUCGAUACUACCGUGCUUGAGGACUGGAGAGGAGACUGGAAUUUACGGUGUAGCGGUGAAAUGCGUAGAUAUCGUAAGGAAGACCAGUGGCGAAGGCGGGUCUCUGGACAGUUCCUGACGCUGAGACGCGAAAGCGUUGGGGAGCAAACAGG